rnacentral:rRNA from 1 species
CCUACGGGUGGCAGCAGUGGGGAAUAUUGGACAAUGGGGGGAACCCUGAUCCAGCCAUGCCGCGUGUGUGAAGAAGGCCCUCGGGUGGUAAAGCACUUUCAGUGAGGAAGAACGCCUGGUGGUUAAUACCCAUCAGGAAAGACAUCACUCACAGAAGAAGCACCGGCUAACUCCGUGCCAGCAGCCGCGGUAAUACGGAGGGUGCGAGCGUUAAUCGGAAUUACUGGGCGUAAAGCGCGCGUAGGUGGCUUGAUAAGCCGGUUGUGAAAGCCCCGGGCUCAACCUGGGAACGGCAUCCGGAACUGUCAAGCUAGAGUGCAGGAGAGGAAGGUAGAAUUCCCGGUGUAGCGGUGAAAUGCGUAGAGAUCGGGAGGAAUACCAGUGGCGAAGGCGGCCUUCUGGACUGACACUGACACUGAGGUGCGAAAGCGUGGGUAGCAAACAGGAUUAGAUACCCCGGUAGUC